ACAGCCAUAGGUUGCCAAAGUGGCAGCUUGCUAGUCCUCUGCCCAUGCACCUUUGGUACCGAGCCUGACGAAAGGUGCGUGGUCAGAUGUUCCGCCAAGCCCGAGCCUCCUUUGUCUCCACGGCCCUUGUCUCCAAUGCCUUUCUCCCCCAUCUAGCACACCACUCAUCCCUUUCUUCUCUCUCUGAUCCAUCCACCUUCUCUCCCUGCUCCAUUGAUCUUCUUCUCUCUCCCAUAGUUCCACUUGGUGCAGGCUUCUAGCCCGCCCUCAACCCUUUUCCUCUCGUUCCUCCACCGUCGUUCGACGUAGCCUUACCCGAUGGUGACCAGAUCCGUGGUCUCCUAUACACCAUCGCCAGUCCAGGAGAGAUGCAUCUUCCAGGGAGUCCCCCUCCCCCCCUCCCCCCUCGUGCGGCUCGGCCGUUCAGGUCUAACAGAUGGGCUGUGAGUUUGGACUUGGCAUGGCCGCCGCGCAGUCCGCCGUUGCGCUGUGUGCCCAAACUACCGACUGCGUCGAGUCGGCCUCCGCUGUCUCCCGCUCUGCGUCGGCAACUUGGCAUCCCGUCUCUCGUCUCCCGCAGGACCAUGGACUUCGCAGUGCGCCAGCGCCGGCGUCAUCGACCACAACAAUGCUGAUGCUGCCAGGGACGUGUACUGGAGUGGAGGCUCUAGAUUAUCCAAGAUGAUUCCCACUUUCACAUCAAUGUUCCCAAGUACUUACUAGUAUGGUUUAGGCUGUUGCUGCUGUAAUCAACUAUGAACUGCCACUUUGAGUUGUGAUAUUUCCGGUGUGAUCUCCAUCCAGGACCAGGAUUGUACAUUUGAAUUUCUGAUCUGAGGUGGAUCACGAAAUAAGAGUUGAUAGCGAAAUAUAUGAACAUCCAUGCAUCCUCAA